GAUGAAGAACGUAGCGAAAUGCGAUACUUGGUGUGAAUUGCAGAAUCCCGUGAACCAUCGAGUCUUUGAACGCAAGUUGCGCCCGAAGCCACUAGGCCGAGGGCACCCCUGCCUGGGCGUCACACGUCGUUGCCCCCCCCCCAUCUACUCCUUCGGGAUUGCGGGGGGCGGAUGAUGGCCUCCCGUGCGCCUAGCCGCGCGGUUGGCAUAAAUACCAAGUCCUCGGCGACGCACGCCACGACAAUCGGUGGUUGCGAAACCUCGGUUGCCCGUCGUGUGCGUUCGUCGCGCAUCGAGGGCUCGAAAAAAUGCUCGGCUCCGGCUCGGCUUUCAACGCGACCCCAGGUCAGGCGGGGUUACCCGCUGAAUUUAAGCAUAUCAAUAAGCGGAGGA
rnacentral:misc_RNA from 1 species